GGGAUUAGCUAGUAGGUGGGGUAAAGGCUCACCUAGGCGACGAUCCCUAGCUGGUCUGAGAGGAUGACCAGCCACACUGGAACUGAGACACGGUCCAGACUCCUACGGGAGGCAGCAGUGGGGAAUAUUGCACAAUGGGGGAAACCCUGAUGCAGCCAUGCCGCGUGUAUGAAGAAGGCCUUAGGGUUGUAAAGUACUUUCAGUCAGGAGGAAGGGUGAGCGGUAAAUAGCCGUUUGCAUUGACGUUACUGACAGAAGAAGCACCGGCUAACUCCGUGCCAGCAGCCGCGGUAAUACGGAGGGUGCAAGCGUUAAUCGGAAUUACUGGGCGUAAAGCGCACGCAGGCGGUCUGUUAAGUCAGAUGUGAAAUCCCCGGGCUUAACCCGGGAACUGCAUUUGAAACUGGCAGGCUU
rnacentral:rRNA from 1 species